rnacentral:rRNA from 1 species
AGUGAACGCUGGCGGUAGGCCUAACACAUGCAAGUCGAACGGCAGCACAGUAAGAGCUUGCUCUUACGGGUGGCGAGUGGCGGACGGGUGAGGAAUACAUCGGAAUCUACUUUUUCGUGGGGGAUAACGUAGGGAAACUUACGCUAAUACCGCAUACCACCUACGGGUGAAAGCAGGGGAUCAUCGGACAUUGCGCGGAUGAAUGAGCCGAUGUCGGAUUAGCUAGUUGGCGGGGUAAAGGCCCACCAAGGCGACGAUCCGUAGCUGGUCUGAGAGGAUGAUCGGCCACACUGGAACUGAGACACGGUCCAGACUCCUACGGGAGGCAGAAGUGGGGAAUAUUGGACAAUGGGGGCAAGCCUGAUCCAGCCAUACCGCGUGGGGGAAGAAGGCCUUCGGGUUUUAAAGCCCUUUUGUUGGGAAAGAAAAGCAGCAGGUUAAUACCCCGCUGUUCUGACGGUACCCAAAGAAUAAGCACCGGCUAACUUCGUG